UAGGGAAUCUUCCACAAUGGACGCAAGUCUGAUGGAGCAACGGCCGCGUGAGUGAAGAAGGUCUUCGGAUCGUAAAGCUCUGUUGUUGGUGAAGAAGGAUAGAGGCAGUAACUGGUCUUUAUUUGACGGUAAUCAACCAGAAAGUCACGGCUAACUACGUGCCAGCAGCCGCGGUAAUACGUAGGUGGCAAGCGUUGUCCGGAUUUAUUGGGCGUAAAGCGAGCGCAGGCGGAAUGAUAAGUCUGAUGUGAAAGCCCACGGCUCAACCGUGGAACUGCAUCGGAAACUGUCAUUCUUGAGUGCAGAAGAGGAGAGUGGAACUCCAUGUGUAGCGGUGGAAUGCGUAGAUAUAUGGAAGAACACCAGUGGCGAAGGCGGCUCUCUGGUCUGCAACUGACGCUGAGGCUCGAAAGCAUGGGUAGCGAACAGGAUUAGAUACCCUGGUAGUCCAUGCCGUAAACGAUGAGCGCUAGGUGUUG
rnacentral:rRNA from 1 species